UACGUAGGGACCGAGCGUUGUCCGGAAUCAUUGGGCGUAAAGAGCGUGUAGGCGGCUUGCUAAGUCUUGCGUGAAAUCUCGGGGCUCAACCCCGAGCGGUCGUGGGAAACUGGCAGGCUAGAGUGCGGGAGAGGAGAAUGGAAUUCCUGGUGUAGCGGUGAAAUGCGCAGAUAUCAGGAAGAACACCCGUGGCGAAGGCGGUUCUCUGGAACGCAACUGACGCUGAGGAGCGAAAGCAUGGGGAGCGAACAGG
rnacentral:rRNA from 1 species